rnacentral:rRNA from 1 species
AUGAAGAAGUACAAAGUCCACCUCGCCUUGCUGUAUAAGGGGCACAAGAAACUCAAGGAUGAACUCAAUGCGGUGCUGAACCACCCACUAAUGCCGUCAGAAUUUGAAAAAGCAUGGAAGAACCUCAUUUAGAGGUACAACUUGCAAGGCAACAAAGUGAUGAAUUCGCUGUGGGAUGACAGGCACGAGUGGAUCUCGGCUUACUACAAGGAAAUUUUCUGUGCUCAGAUGACUUCCACACAGAGAAGUGAGAGCAUGAACCGCAUACUGAAGAAAAAUUUUGUUGGGGACAAGCAUUAUCUCCAUCGGUUUGCUCAGAAGGUGGAUAAGUUCAUUCAGACCAGGAAGGCCGUCGAGCACGCAGAGACAGUAGCAAAUGAGUCAGAGGUAAAAACAACAACCAAGUUUGGGUUCGAAGUUCAGCUAUCAAAAGUGUAUACAAGGGCAGUGUUUGCAGAUUUCAAAGAAACACUCUACCGUAGCACUGCAUUCAGAGCAGAACGGUGCCCUGAGAACCCGACAAAGUAUCUCACACACCACUACAACAGAUCGGAUGCAUUUGACUGGGCAAGGCAUAAUUUCCAAGUGGUCGCCGAUGAAGAGAAAGGUGUCUACGAAUGUGAGUGCAAACUCUCAACACACAUAGGGCUCUUUUGCGUCCAUGUGUUAUGCAUGCUUUCUCAUUUGAGAGUACUCAAGAUUCGUGAGGUCUACAUCAUGAAAAGAUACACCCAUAAUGCAAGAUCAGAUGCAACGUUUGACAGAAGAGACUACGAACAAACAGCACCAGAUGGAACCUCGCUUUUUUGCCGUAGAAAAUUGCUGACAGAAACAACAAUGGACCUUGCAAACAGAGGGACAAGGUCCGAC